rnacentral:rRNA from 1 species
CGUGAAAUUGUUGAAAGGGAAGCGUUUAUGACCAGACUUGGGCUUGGUUAAUCAUCUGGGGUUCUCCCCAGUGCACUUUUCCAGUCCAGGCCAGCAUCAGUUUUCCCCGGGGGAUCAAGACUUCGGCAACGCCACACCAUUCGCCCUCCUUCCUCGCCCGUCUCGUCCCCCCCUCCCUCCGACUCCGCCCCCCCCACCUGCAACCAUGCUGGCGUAAUGGUCAUCAACGACCCGUCUUGAAACACGG